AAUUCGUUAGUAGGUUACCUUGGGUAAUUAGAUGAAGUACAACAACUAAGUUAUUAAACUUAGUUAAAUGUCUAAUAAAUAAGUAAAGGAAUGAAGUUUGUGGCAACUAUGAUGAUGUGUUAGAGUUGAGGGACCUAGAUUGCCAUAAUGUAAACUAAAAUUUAAUAAAAAAAAAAAGAAAGAAAAAUAAAACCACAACACACACUGUGCGUGUGUGUGGUCGAUCGCACAAGGCAGAGGGAAAGGGGUAAACCCUAAUUCUCAAGAAAUCUCCAAAUUGAAAAGGGAAUUGAAGGUUUUUAGGAUGCAUGUAUCAAGAUUAUCGAUCUCCUAAGUGUUCUUCACUAUCAAGAACGUGUCAAGGAGAGGUCAAGCAUAGGAGGAUAACGGGUCAAGAUAAGGCAAGGUGACAAAUACACUUAAUGGAGUACUCGAGGUAAGUGAAUUUCGAUUCACUUUUUAGUAGGUUUAAUAGAUUUUAAUACUUAUGUUUACGAAACAUCAUGAAAGAACAUGUAAUAAUCAGAAGUACAAAGCCAAUAAUGCCUCAUUAUUGAGGAAGGUUGUAUUUAAGCCGAAAGUAAAUUGGUGGGUUUAAACGGGUCGAAUUUUAUGUGCAUAUGUUGCGUAAUGUAAUGAAAUUCGUUAUGGUUAAGACCUUGGGUAGGAAUUUUUAGUCAUUAUGUAAGGGGAACACUUCCCGGACCAUUAGGAACAAGUUUUAUAUGAUUCGGUUGUCGGUUAGUUAAUGAACGGAUUGUUUCAUGUUAGUGUAGGAAAUUUUAUAAGUAUAUGUGUAUAGGAACCCAAAGGGCACGUGGGUUGAAUCAUAGAUUGUCUAUACUAUGUAAAGUUGUGAAUGUGACAUUCCGGCAUAAACCUACAUGUAAAAGAAGCUUGUGUAUAUAUUCGUGAUUAAUUGAUUGUGCGUAGGAAGGAACAUUGGCAUGUAUGAAGGUACGCAUGUAUAUGUAAGUGUGUAUAUAUACAUAUAUGUAUGUAUGUAUGAUAAUAAGUACGUAGGUGUGAAUGUAUGUGUGAAUGAAUGUUCAAUGCUUAAGACAUAUGCAUGAACGUUAUCAAAGUGUUCGAGUAUUUAUGGUUACUAAUGAUGUGCGUCGAGUUGGAAUGUAAUGUAGGUAUGGGAUCGUCGGCUUCAUGAAGAAAUGGAGCUGGAUUUGGAUAAGAGUAUUUAAGAAAGCGCUUGGACAAUUCCACGACUACUUUAUAGAAUGCUCUACGAAAUUCUAUUAUAUAGUUUAAUGUUGUAUGGUAUGUUAAUGACUAAUGGUUUGGUUGUACGUGGUGUCCACAGGUAUCGCUUGGGUUUUCUCUACAUUUAUUGAAGUGAAGCGGACUUAGUUCGAGUUGAGAGCAAGGAUUGUACGGGGUAGAAUGGUCACAUAGUGUAACUCAUAUAGAUUUUGAAGUAUUAAUGUUAUAAAUCCGUUUUAAUGAAUAUAUGGCUUUUCGCAUUUGAACCUUCAUGUGUUUGAUAUGUCUAUUAAAGAACGAAAUUUUUGGGCUCUUGUUUUCCGCUGCGUCGUAUUUUAAGUUAUUACACGUUAGUCUUACAGGGAAUUGUUCUUAUUACGAACGGGUCAUGCCCGAAUUUUGUUAAAUAAUAGUAUGAUAAUAUUACAUUUUGGAAUGUGUAAUUUGGGCGUUAUAAGUUGGUAUCAGAGCCCUGGUUUGAGGGAAAUCAAGUAUGAGGAGGCAAAUACUUGAACUCAAACCUGUGUGCUCUUGUGACGAGAAACCCGUACAAUCCAAGACUCGAUCAAGAUCUAAAGGUAGAAGCAAAUGUAAGUAUGAAUUUAAGUAUGUUUAUGAAGAAACUAACAUUAUGUUGUGUGUAAGAUAAGCAUAGUUGUUUGGAUGAGGAUGAUCCACGACUGUGGUCUCGGACUGACACCAAGGCAUGUAAUAAGACCAUUGCCCAGGUCAGUGAAAGAAUGUUCAUAAGCGAAAGCUCGUCACACGGAUAAACGAGGUCAAUACGAAACAUGGUAUGGAUGGGGACGAAGAGGACCGACUCGUUGCUGCAUGUUCAAGUACUGCACCAAGGUAGUAAGGUUAGCAAAUUAUUUAAUAUAUGAAGGUACGAUGCUCGAAUCCCUCAAACCUACGCUCUCGUGAAAGUGUGUUCGUUUCUAAACGCCACGCAAGUAAGUGAUUUAAGGAUUUCGAGCUAUGCUUUUAGAUGAAAACGGAAAUGGGUUAUGGAUAAAUUACUAUUAUAACCUGGGUUGGGACGUUAUGGGAUGUUAGGGAAGGUUUCGGGACUGCCCGAGACCAUUUCUGGUUGAAAAAAAAAAGACCCGGGAACAAAAAUUUUUGGUCAAACAGCGUCUGCACACCAGAGAGCCCGUCGGCGACGGCCUUUAUGCCGUCGGCGACGGCACCCCUCCACCUGACGCGCUAACUGUCUGUCUACGGGCAAUGUUUAGCGACGGGACCUUCCCGAGCCCGUCAGCGACGCACCAUGUGCCGUCGGCGACGGGUCCCCCUUAUCUGCUUAUGCUGAAAUUGUUUGUUUAUUAGGCUAAGGUCCUUAAUUCAGUUCUAGCAUUCAUUAAACACUAAGAACACCCCAGAUUGAUUAUGAAGCUAGGAAAUUCAAGACAACUAUCGUGUUUUAAUGAUGAAUGUGUGGGAAGUUAUGUAUGCGAACGGAUGAAAUAAGUAACACAUCUAGAAUGUUUGUAAAGAAAGAUUGGGUAAGUUUAUAAAAAUUUUACGCUAUCAUUGAGAAAGUACCUCCGUAUGAAUAAGUACGAUAUGUUAAAUGUGUACGAAUGAACGAGAUUGAAUGCGGAAAUGAAUAAAAUAAUGAUGACUAGGGAUUGGUUUUCGCAAAGAAGUUUGAAAUCUUGAUAAGUAUGAAUAAUAUGUCAGGAUGCUAGUUUCAAAUUAUGGACUAUGGGAUCUGUGAUUAGGCAAUUUCUCACAACAUGCUUAUGUAAGUCGUCCAAUGUCACUUGAAUGAAUGAACGAACGAAGAAUAAAACUAGAUGGGUUAUAGAAGAAAUGAAAGAGGUUUCGGGGACGAAACCUUCUUUAAGGGGGAUAGAUUUGUAACACCCCAAAACUCGAAUUAUUAAAUUCGUUAGUAGGUUACCUUGGGUAAUUAGAUGAAGUACAACAACUAAGUUAUUAAACUUAGUUAAAUGUCUAAUAAAUAAGUAAAGGAAUGAAGUUUGUGGCAACUAUGAUGAUGUGUUAGAGUUGAGGGACCUAGAUUGCCAUAAUGUAAACUAAAAUUUUAUAAAAAAAAAGAAAGAAAAAUAAAACCACAACACACACUGUGCGUGUGUGUGGUCGAUCGCACAAGGCAGAGGGAAAGGGGUAAACCCUAAUUCUCAAGAAAUCUCCAAAUUGAAAAGGGAAUUGAAGGUUUUUAGGAUGCAUGUAUCAAGAUUAUCGAUCUCCUAAGUGUUCUUCACUAUCAAAUAAUAGGAACGUGUCAAGGAGAGGUCAAGCAUAGGAGGAUGACGGGUCAAGAUAAGGCAAGGUGACAAAUACACUUAAUGGAGUACUCGAGGUAAGUGAAUUUCGAUUCACUUUUUAGUAGGUUUAAUAGAUUUUAAUACUUAUGUUUACGAAACAUCAUGAAAGAACAUGUAAUAAUCAGAAGUACAAAGCCAAUAAUGCCUCAUUAUUGAGGAAGGUUGUAUUUAAGCCGAAAGUAAAUUGGUGGGUUUAAACGGGUCGAAUUUUAUGUGCAUAUGUUGCGUAAUGUAAUGAAAUUCGUUAUGGUUAAGACCUUGGGUAGGAAUUUUUAGUCAUUAUGUAAGGGGAACACUUCCCGGACCAUUAGGAACAAGUUUUAUAUGAUUCGGUUGUCGGUUAGUUAAUGAACGGAUUGUUUCAUGUUAGUGUAGGAAAUUUUAUAAGUAUAUGUGUAUAGGAACCCAAAGGGCACGUGGGUUGAAUCAUAGAUUGUCUAUACUAUGUAAAGUUGUGAAUGUGACAUUCCGGCAUAAACCUACAUGUAAAAGAAGCUUGUGUAUAUAUUCGUGAUUAAUUGAUUGUGCGUAGGAAGGAACAUUGGCAUGUAUGAAGGUACGCAUGUAUAUGUAAGUGUGUAUAUAUACAUAUAUGUAUGUAUGUAUGAUAAUAAGUACGUAGGUGUGAAUGUAUGUGUGAAUGAAUGUUCAAUGCUUAAGACAUAUGCAUGAACGUUAUCAAAGUGUUCGAGUAUUUAUGGUUACUAAUGAUGUGCGUCGAGUUGGAAUGUAAUGUAGGUAUGGGAUCGUUGGCUUCAUGAAGAAAUGGAGCUGGAUUUGGAUAAGAGUAUUUAAGAAAGCGCUUGGACAAUUCCACGACUACUUUAUAGAAUGCUCUACGAAAUUCUAUUAUAUAGUUUAAUGUUGUAUGGUAUGUUAAUGACUAAUGGUUUGGUUGUACGUGGUGUCCACAGGUAUCGCUUGGGUUUUCUCUACAUUUAUUGAAGUGAAGCGGACUUAGUUCGAGUUGAGAGCAAGGAUUGUACGGGGUAGAAUGGUCACAUAGUGUAACUCAUAUAGAUUUUGAAGUAUUAAUGUUAUAAAUCCGUUUUAAUGAAUAUAUGGCUUUUCGCAUUUGAACCUUCAUGUGUUUGAUAUGUCUAUUAAAGAACGAAAUUUUUGGGCU